rnacentral:rRNA from 1 species
AUUGAACGCUGGCGGCAGGCCUAACACAUGCAAGUCGAGCGAGCGGCGGACGGGUGAGUAAUGUCUGGGAAACUGCCUGAUGGAGGGGGAUAACUACUGGAAACGGUAGCGAAUACCGCAUAACAUCAGAUGUGCCCAGAUGGGAUUAGCUAGGAGGUGGGGUAACGGCUCACCUAGGCGACGAUCCCUAGCUGGUCGGAGAGGAUGACCAGCCACACUGUGACUGAGACACGGGCCAGACUCCUACGUGAGGCAGCAGUGGGGAAUAUUGCACAAUGGGCGCAAGCCUGAUGCAGCCAUGCCGCGUGUGUGAAGAAGGCCUUCGGGUUGUAAAGCUCUGUCAGCGGGGAGGCGUUACCCGCAGAAGAAGCACCGGCUAACUCCGUGCCAGCAGCCGCGGUAAUAC